UCCUACGGGGGGCAGCAGUAAGGAAUAUUGGUCAAUGGUCGCAAGACUGAACCAGCCAUGCCGCGUGCAGGAAGACGGUCCUAUGGAUUGUAAACUGCUUUUAUACAGGAAGAAACCCUCCCACGUGUGGGAGCUUGACGGUACUGUAGGAAUAAGGAUCGGCUAACUCCGUGCCAGCAGCCGCGGUAAUACGGAGGAUCCAAGCGUUAUCCGGAAUCAUUGGGUUUAAAGGGUCCGUAGGCGGUCUUAUAAGUCAGUGGUGAAAGCCCAUCGCUCAACGAUGGAACUGCCAUUGAUACUGUAAGACUUGAAUGCUUAGGAAGUAACUAGAAUAUGUAGUGUAGCGGUGAAAUGCUUAGAUAUUACAUGGAAUACCAAUUGCGAAGGCAGGUUACUACUAAGUGAUUGACGCUGAUGGACGAAAGCGUGGGGAGCGAACAGGAUUAGAUACCCUGGUAGUCCG
rnacentral:rRNA from 1 species